rnacentral:rRNA from 1 species
GACGAACGCUGGCGGCGUGCUUAACACAUGCAAGUCGAACGCUGAUGGCCCAGCUUGCUGGGUUGGAUGAGUGGCGAACGGGUGAGUAACACGUGAGUAACCUGCCCUCUUCUUUGGGAUAACGGUCGGAAACGGCUGCUAAUACCGGGUAUUCACUGUCCUUCGCAUGGGGGGUGGUGGAAAGGUUUUUUCUGGUGGGGGAUGGGCUCGCGGCCUAUCAGCUUGUUGGUGGGGUGAUGGCUUACCAAGGCUUUGACGGGUAACCGGCCUGAGAGGGUGACCGGUCACAUUGGGACUGAGAUACGGCCCAGACUCCUACGGGAGGCAGCAGUGGGGAAUAUUGCACAAUGGGCGAAAGCCUGAUGCAGCGACGCCGCGUGAGGGAUGGAGGCCUUCGGGUUGUAAACCUCUUUCGCUCAUGGUCAAGCCGCAACUCAAGGUUGUGGUGAGGGUAGUGGGUAAAGAAGCACCGGCUAACUACGUGCCAGCAGCCGCGGUAAUACGUAGGGUGCGAGCGUUGUCCGGAAUUAUUGGGCGUAAAGGGCUUGUAGGCGGUUUGUCGCGUCUGCCGUGAAAUCCUCUGGCUUAACUGGGGGCGUGCGGUGGGUACGGGCAGGCUUGAGUGCGGUAGGGGAGACUGGAACUCCUGGUGUAGCGGUGGAAUGCGCACAUAUCAAGAAAAACACCGGUGGCGAAGGCCGGUCUCUGGGCGGUUACUGACUGUGAGGGAGCGAAAGCGUGGGAGCGGAACAGAAUAGAUACCUUGGUAUCUCAAGGGCGAAUUCUACUU